UCCUCCUCCUCUUUGGAUCUAUGAUACUGGGUCUAGUAUUUGUGUGACGGGAGACCCGAGCCUCCUUUGGGGUGUACACAACGCCGAGGGCAUUUCCUCGGCUGGAGUCAGUGGAGUGGAAUUAGUGUCCAACAAGUGCGGGCGCAUAAGAUCUGGUAGAGUGAAGCUCUCUGGGAUCCGGUACUUUCCUGGAGCGAAAGUGAAUUUGAUUAGCGGCGGCAUCCUUGGGUCCCUAGGCUGCGAAAUCAUAAUGAACGCAAAGGGGUGCAAGAUCAUGAAGGACGGGCAGGUGAUCGGGGGUGGCCGCA
rnacentral:rRNA from 1 species